UACGUAGGGCGCAAGCGUUAUCCGGAAUUAUUGGGCGUAAAGAGCUUGUAGGCGGUUCGUCGCGUCUGGUGUGAAAGCCCAUCGCUUAACGGUGGGUUUGCGCCGGGUACGGGCGGGCUAGAGUGCAGUAGGGGAGACUGGAAUUCUCGGUGUAACGGUGGAAUGUGUAGAUAUCGGGAAGAACACCAAUGGCGAAGGCAGGUCUCUGGGCUGUUACUGACGCUGAGAAGCGAAAGCGUGGGGAGCGAACAGG
rnacentral:rRNA from 2 species